AUGGAGCAGCUUCAGUUAGGGGAAGGAGAAGAAGCACAGUCUCUGGAAGAGGUUUUGUGAGUGGAAGAGAAAUUCUGAAGUUAGGACUGGUCUCAGUGUCAAAAAAGGAAGUUGUCGCUUUAGGAGGGCUGACUAAAUGUCCUCCAAGACUCCCUUGACUAAAAAUAUCUCUUCCAUUGGCUUGGGGUCAUUCAAAUCAGAGUCUAUCCUUAUGCAAAUGUUAGGACUUCAGAUAUUUUCCUACUCACACCACACUGUGUCCCCACCUCCGUAAUUUUGCUCAGGCUGGUCCUUCCUCUGGAGUGGUCUUCUCACUUUUCUCUACUCACCAUUUUUGUAUCGUGUCAGGAGUUACUUCUUCUGGGCGUCUUUUUCAGGCUCUUGCUCCAAUCCACCAGGACAUCCCGUACGUGUCCCUGUCACCGCAUUUACAUUGACCACGGUGUUUAUAUCUGCUGACUUCACUGAACUGUGAGCACCCGGAAGAAGUGAGUCACUAGGUCCAGCCCCCUACCAGUGGGAGGGGAUGAUACAGAAUGUGAAUAUCAGGAGGUAGGAGCCAUUUGAGAAGCUGCCUACCAUCACAGCAUGAGAAGAUGCUUUCAGGAAAAAAGCGACUAUUUGACCCAGCAGAGAGCAUUUUCCCGAUGUAGGGGUGAUGUGCAGCAAUCAGCUUGUUUUGGUCUGGGAUGACUGACAGCGAUUCCAUGGAUUGUUUUGUGAUAUUAGACAAAGGUUCUCGGGGCAAAAUGUGAUUAGAAUAUGUUCAACUUGAUGACAUGUAUGUUAAGCCUGUUGGCACGUAGCAGCCAAUUUCAUUGUAUGACCUACUGGCUAGAGACAUCGAGAGUAAGAGUCAAAUCAUUUGGAGAAGAGUUGUUUAGUGAGUUAGAAUGAAUGGAGUCUUUAGUGAGUGUCCGCAUCAAAUUCUGUCCCAGUUUGUUGCUUGUCAUGCCCUAUUCUCCAUCUGGGAUGCCCAAGGCACUCUUUUUCAGGACAUUUGACCUACAAGUCAUAUUUCAGAAACUACUGAUUUGGUGCUUGCUGAUGGAGUUUAGACUCUGAGGAGUCCGCCUGCUGGAUUACGUACAGACUAAUGACCCAUCAGAUGCUAAAGGCAAAAGCUUAAAGUGCACUUAUGAAUUAAACCACAGUAUUGUCAGAAAGGAAGAAUUUAUUAUGUCAUUAAAUUUAAUUCAAUAAGUUUUGCUUCUUUAGAUGCACUGCGCUGAGGGAAAAGUAAGAAAUUAAUUUUAAACAAGUGUUAUUUUUCUUCUGCUUAUCCAGGUAAAGGAUAUUCAUGUGAAAGAGACAGGAUAUUUUAUCGAGAUUUAAAAAAAAGCCAUUACAACAAAUGAUAAAUUGUGAAAACUGGGCAUGACUGCCUAGCCAGGCAUGAACUUCUAAGAUCAGAGACUAUGUGCUUCAGUUAGUAAACACAGAGGAAAAUCAACCUUGCCUAAUUUAAUGACACCCUGGGUGAAGUUUUCAGGCUUUGCAUAAAAAUCACAGAGGCUCAUUGAUACAAAGAUGUCAGCAGUAAUUGUGGUUGAUGCUUAGAGUUUAAUCUGAAAGUUAGGAUGGGCAGAAAAUGAAAAUCAAGAUGGAGAAUUUUUGCUUCAAAUCUAGCAAUUAUUAUGAUAUGAAGAAAAUUCUCAUAGGUUAAAUAUUAGAAUAAAACACAGAAGUGUAAAAUAUGUGGUAUUGAAUCUUUCUACAUACAUCUCAUGAUUGCUUUAGAGCAACAGAGAAAAUGUUGAUAAAUAGUAACUUAAAGGUAAGUGAGGAAAUUGCUGAGUGUUUGUACCUUUUGUCGUUUACCAAUCAAAACAAUACGAUGAUCUUACAGGGGGUCUAGAAUGAAGUCCAGUGAUAAAUACAAAAAUUAGACUUUCCAUUGUAUUGAUAGUGCUCAUUCUAAUAAGUGAGAGACUUUUAGUAUUUGUAUUCUAGGUAAUAAAUUUUCUAUUAGUAACUAUUAUGUUAGCGGAAUAAAAGCAAGAGUGCAAAUCCUCAAAGAACAGAUUCUGGUCAUUGUUUUAAUUCAAUAAAUUCCAUAGCAAAUGGCUUAUGUCAAGUAAGAGAAAAAAAACAGUUGACCAUUGAACAACACAGGGAGGUAGGGGUACCCAUGCCCUGGGCAGUGGAAAAGCUGUGUAAAACUUUUGACUCCCCAGAAACUUAAUU